CCAAAGGUGUGCCCGAGCGACUCUUCGAGCGGGUUGCCAUCCCCCAGCGGAUCUCUAGACCCCUCUCCUCCCUGGCAGCUUGUGACGGACCGGGGGAGGUGACUUCUGCUCUAGGCCCCCAAGAUGACACAACAGGGGCUGGAGGGUCAACCGUCAUGGUCGAGGCUGAGGCCCCGGUCCCGCCUAGCCAAAGGGACAAGAUUCUGAAUGCUCACAAGGAACCAUUGGACCAAUCAUUAGUCGAGCCGGGCUCAAGCACCAUGGCCGAAGACUCCUCCACCCAAUCCCCCGGUGCUGGGAUCUGAGGUCAUGCCACCUCUAAUUCCUGGCUAGAGGAGCUCCAGGACAGGGUAGACCGAAGAGGUAGAUGAGACCAUGAAGGGCUCCUCCCUCAAGGAAGAACACCAUGUCUUGAUAGGCACAGUCCUAUAGAGCAUCCGGUCUGCAUGCCGGAUUGCACGAGGUCUUCAAGGGCCUCGUUUCCAGCUUCGAGCCUUUCAUACGGCGUCGUCAAUGAGUAGACCUGAGACCAAGGCUGGUUUCGAAGAUCUGAGAUUUCUACCUCAGCUACACGCUCCAUCUCCAAGGAGAUAACAGAGAUAAUUAGAAAGCUUGAGAGGUCCGAGAAGGACCUCGACCUGAUGAAC